GCCGCGCUCGGGGGAGGCCCUCCAUCCGCCCUCCGCUGCCGUAGCGCCCUCCUCGGCCUCCCCUCCCCGAUGAAGAACCAGCGGGGACUUCUUUUUCCAGCAGCAGGGCUAAAUCCACCAGUCUGACGAGGCUGUGCUCAGCUGCAGGGAGGCAACGUCUCCAGGCUCUGGCCCAGGGCCCCAGUUUGGAAAGGACCUCACUGGAAAGUGUUCUACUGAAAUCUGGUGCAACUCUGAUAAAACGUUCCAGCCCAUCCUGUAAAGACUGUUACUGAAAAAUCUUGAAAUAAUCACAGGGGAAACGACAGGAACUCAGGCCUCCCUUCCCACCCAAGCGAGACACUCCCUGUCUCUUUUUCCCUCCAGCCCACUAAGCACGCAAGGAUCUGAAGGAAAAGGGCAAGAGUUUCAGCAGCAGGAAAUCUGAGCCAGAGCCACAGCAAAGGCUGGCUGAGACGGAGCUGCCCCUGUGCCAGUUCCGAGGCAGGAGGGCAGCAGGCUGCUGAGGUGGGGUUGCAGCAGUGUGUGAAGAGUCCACACUAAACUUGUGGGAGUAUGGAAAUGUAGGAUCAAGUUCAGGGAUUGCAGUAGCAGACAAAGGAGGAACAAUUCCUUUGGCCUGAGUGACAUUUCACUUACAUGUGCUAACUGUAAAUCUUAUCUGGAAUCAUGAGAGGCUUUAAUGUGGUUUUCCUCAUGUACGUUUAAGAACACAUCCAAUUAACAGAAAUACAGCAGCUGAAAUGCCUGUUUUAUAAGAGGGCAGGGCUGAGCAGGUUAAAAAUGUAUAGGACUGGAUUAUAUUAGUCCCUGUUGAUGGGGCUUUCAGCUCUACUGGCCCAAUCCACGUAUCUCUUCUUUCAUCAGUGGAUUAGAUACAAAGAAUCCACUCUCACUAUUUUCUUGAGCAGAUGAAGCUGUUGUGUUUGAUUUUUACCUUGUGGUUUCUAACAAGUCAGUUCCUGGUGAGACAGUCUGAAUCGGGCUCUUGUUUGAUACCAAGAAGGUAAUGAGGCUUAAACUGUACAGACUCUGCAUGCUCUUCUAUUUGCACGGAGUGGUGAUCUGUGGCCAUAUAUAGUGCAGUGCAGUGAAGGUUUUAAGGAGCUGUGUUCCUUGCUCCCUUAGAUUCACUGGGGAAAACAAACAAACAAAAACCCUUUAAUCUGUGGAAUUAUACAGUCCAGUGACAGGAGGAUACAAAUGGGAAGGUUGAGGAGAUGAGGUGCCCUCAGCAAGGCUGUUUCAAGGCUUGGUGGCUGGCAUGUACCCCCUCCUCCAGGUGUCCUGCUGGACUCUGGUGUCAUCAGCUCUAGUCCCAGGCAGCAGCAGGCCACCGGGGCUUGGGUGGGUUUGCUCCCUGUACCUCUGCAUGGCUCUGGGAUUCAUAACGACAUUCCAGACUCUGAAGAAAGCAUCUAAAGCUUGUUCAGCCUGUAUGGAGGAGCUGAAGUUGCCACAGGGCAGGGAAGGGACCGCCAAGGGAUCUGGACAGUCAUGGGAAAAGCCAUGGUGAGGAGGAACAAGCAGGCCUCGCUUCAGUCUGUGGGAGCCUGCACUCACUCUUGGCCUGUAAAUGACUUGUGGCAGGCACUGUCAUCCCUUGUGAGACACGGUGGGUGGUGCCGGCCACAUAAAAUACAUCUAAAUCCCAGUUCAGUCCAGACUGUAAAACGGGCUUAAAGUGAAAACAGAUUGAGACCAAGGAAGGAGAGAGCUUCUUAGGCUGCAGACGGCCACCAUUCAGCAGCUCCCUCUGGGCCUGUGUCAGCGGGCCACCCUUGCUCCUGAGCCCCGCUUUGCUCCUCGCCCAGUGCAGGAGCUAUAAUGCAGCUCCUGUUAUAACUCGGGCAGUGAUGGGCAGCUGCAGCUGGGCCAGGAGCAGAGAGCUUUGCUGGCACCGCUCUGUGCAGUGCCGCUGUCUGCAGCGCUGGGCCAGCGCCUUAUGGAGACAUUGCCCCUUUUCAGCUGUUCGUUGCCUCUCUGAUGCCAGGGAUGCCCUCGGAUCUGCUGUCAGCUCAGGGCAGGCUCUGCAGGAACGCGCUAAUCCCCUGCAGGAAAGUUCCCGUGGCUCAGUUCAAAUACCCGGUUUGAACUGGUUAAUCUGACCCGGUCGGUCUGUCUGGCGGAGCACCGACACGCUCUGCGCUGCCGCGGGUGAAGGUCGGCUUGAGCUCGAGGGUGGUGACGGAGAGCAGCUGGUUCUGCUGCUUCCAAGAGAGACAUCUGCUCACAGCCUUAAAAUCAUUUAGCCCAAAUCCCGUGCAGUUCAGGGCUGUUUCCUGUGUAGCUUUUAGUGCAUUUUGUCCUUCCUUAGUUUAAAACAGGAUUUCUAUUGUUUGUCUGGUGAGGCUAGUAAAAGCUAGGAGGAUAUUCCUCUUAAAUUACUCCUUUAUAUCUAAUUAUACACCUGGGUAGACAAGUAGUUUGUCCUGAAGAAGCAGAUGGGGUAAAUAUGGGACUGUGUCUGAAUUCUGCAGAGUAACUCACAGAUGCCAUUUUCAGCACGAGCUGUUUUUGCUGCAGCACUGUUCGUCUUGCUCAGGAGAAAUUUCAGGAAGUUGUGCGGAGCAAAAGGUUGCAGCUUGGCUCCUCGUUGUUUUUAUUUCUCCUACUCUUACAUUAAGCAGAAAAACAAGGGAAAAAAUCCUCUCCCUGGGACUCAUUCCCAUGUUUCUCAUGAACUCAGAGUUCCUCUGCCUGGAAUCAAACAUCUAUGAAAUGAAAACUGAAGGAAGAAAGAAUGCACCGGGGAAAGACCAUGUUCAGUGCAGUGCACAUUUUUCAUGCUGGACUGAAAUUUAUUUCUCCUAAUUCCAAAACAUUCAACUUCAGUGCUCAGGAAGAUUCACCUAAAACUGUUUUCAUAUAAAAUAUAAAAAUUAAACUUGGCAGUACUUUUUCAGUCAUCUAACGUGGUACUUCAUCUCCUGGCCUGGGACGACAUCUGGCUGGCACGUUCUUCUCCACACACCAGGAAGAGGACUCUUGUUAGCUGGUUACUGCAGUUCUCAGCAUUAAAACACAGUGAAUCAGACUGCAAAGUAGCAUGAGACUGAUUUAAAAAUAAUGAGAUUUAUGUAUUGAGUUGAGCUUUGAGUUCUUUUUAUUUGCUUUCUGGCUUGGAAACCUUUAGAAUGUGUGAUGAGUAUAUUUUUUGCUUUUCAUCAUGAUUGUGAAUGUUUUAAAAACACACACACAAAAAGCGAGCAGACAAACGAAACAGAACCUUACCUUAUAAUUGAGAAACCCUGAAUCAAUGAUUUCGGCUUUCACAAUCACAUCUGUUGUCAGAAAGUUGCAAUAAAAAUAGAAUAAUUGGCAGUAUUCUUGCCAAGAACGGACAGGGGACCUGCUGGGACAAAAAAAAGUGGAGAAACUGGAGUGAAGUCUUGUUAUCUUCAUGAGGCUGCUAGAGUCCAGGAAGAAACAGAGUGGGGUAAUACUAAUGGGUUCAUCUCCAGAUUUUGAUUACUUUCUCUGAGGCUCCAGCAGCAAAAAAGCAGCAGCAAAAAAGGGGUACUGGAUAAAUAGAAUUCAUGGUCUGGAUAUGGAUGCCAAGGUUUAAAUGAAAUACAUCCACUUCAGGUACAACAAGUGUAUAACUCAAUACCAGCAACAAGUUAGCACUACAAGUAUAUUAAAAUUUGACCUCUGUGUACAUGUCUAACAGUUAAAGAUCCCUUCCAACACAAGUGUUUCUGUGAUACUGUGACUCUGGGCCUCUCAGGCACAAGCCUUAGUUUUUGAGAUUUUCAUCUGCAUUCCCUGCAUCCCUCACAGUACACUUUUGCUUAUGGUUAACAUACUAAUGGCCUCCUGAGUCCCUGCUAUGUUCCUCUAGAAGGAGGGACUUUAAUCUCUCCCACCCUGCCGCCCAGCAUUCCAUAAUCUCAUCAGAUUAUAGUAUGCUUGGAGAGAACGCCAUCCACAAUGGCCUGAAUCUGAUGGUUUGGUCCUUUAGUGACCAUCCAUUUUCAUGUUCUGUAGCCUCUGAAGGUGCGCAUGAGUUUCCCAUUGCACGACCACAACUCAUUAUGCUGUGCUUAGUAUCUUCUCAUGGUUAUUAUUCCAUCAGCCUUAUUAACCCCUGCUGUUCAAACAUGGGCAGUUUGGAGAAAUGCUGACUGGCUGCAGUUGUCUGGUACAGCAGUUUGCUGCAGAAGGAACUGAGAGAACAGGGACUGUGCAGUCUAGAGAAGGAGAUGGAGAGUAGGUAUCAUCAGUGUCCACAAACACCUGAAUGGAACGGGCAAAGAGGACAAAGCUAGGCUCUUUUCAGUGGUGCCCAAUGCCAGGUCACGAACUGGAACACAGGAGGUUCUUCUGUGCUGUGUGG